rnacentral:rRNA from 1 species
CUGGUUGAUCCUGCCAGUAGUCAUAUGCUUGUCUCAAAGAUUAAGCCAUGCAUGUCUAAGUUCAAGCGAAAAUAAAGUGAAACCGCGAAUGGCUCAUUACAUCAGUUAUGGUUCCUUAGAUCGCACUUACUACUUGGAUAACUGUGGUAAUUCUAGAGCUAAUACAUGCGCUGAGCUCCAACCCUCGUGGAAGGAGCGCUUUUAUUAGAUCAAAGCCAAUCGGGUCUUCGGGCUCGUUAAAUGGUGACUCUGAAUAACUUUGCUGAUCGCAUGGUCUUGUACCGGCGACGUAUCUUUCAAGUGUCUGCCUUAUCAACUGUCGAUGGUAGGUUAUGCGCCUACCAUGGUGGUAACGGGUAACGGGGAAUUAGGGUUCGAUUCCGGAGAGGGAGCCUGAGAAACGGCUACCACAUCCAAGGAAGGCAGCAGGCGCGCAAAUUACCCACUCCCAGCUCGGGGAGGUAGUGACGAAAAAUAACGAUACGGGACUCUUUAGAGGCUCCGUAAUCGGAAUGAGUACACUUUAAAUCCUUUAACGAGGAUCUAUUGGAGGGCAAGUCUGGU